AUUCUUUGUAGUUCAUAAGCCUGAUGAUUAGGUUUUCAUGUGCAUAUGUGAGAUGUGCCUCCCUCAAACCUUGUUACAAUGUUGGCACAUUUCCCAUCUGAUG
ensembl:snoRNA